rnacentral:rRNA from 1 species
AGAGUUUGAUCAUGGCUCAGGACGAACGCUGGCGGCGUGCUUAACACAUGCAAGUCGAGGGGAAACGACAUCGAAAGCUUGCUUUUGAUGGUCGUCGACCGGCGCACGGGUGAGUAACGCGUAUCCAACCUGCCCAUCACUUGGGGAUAACCUUGCGAAAGUAAGACUAAUACCCAAUGAUAUCUCUAGAAGACAUCUGAAAGAGAUUAAAGAUUUAUCGGUGAUGGAUGGGGAUGCGUCUGAUUAGCUUGUUGGCGGGGUAACGGCCCACCAAGGCAACGAUCAGUAGGGGUUCUGAGAGGAAGGUCCCCCACAUUGGAACUGAGACACGGUCCAAACUCCUACGGGAGGCAGCA